rnacentral:piRNA from 1 species
UACUGAGCAAGUGCCUUCACGUUUUU